rnacentral:rRNA from 1 species
AUUGAACGCUGGCGGCAGGCCUAACACAUGCAAGUCGAGCGGAGCGGCGGACGGGUGAGUAAUGCCUAUGAAUCUGCCUGGCAGUGGGGGAUAACUUCCGGAAACGGGCGCUAAUACCGCACACUAUCAGUUGAGCCUAGGCCGGAUUAGCUAGUUGGUGGGGUAAAUGCCUACCAAGGCGACAAUCCGUACCUGGUCUGAGAGGAUGAACAGUCACACUGGAAAUGAGACACGGUCCAGACUCCUACGGGAGGCAGCAGUGGGGAAUAUUGGACAAUGGGCGAAAGCCUGAUCCAGCCAUGCCGCGUGUGUGAAGAAGGUCUUCGGAUUGUAAAGCACUUUAAGUUAGGAGGCGUUACCCGCAGAAUAAGCACCGGCUAACUUCGUGCCAGCAGCCGCGGUAAUAC